AGCUGAUGUGGAUGCGGGGCUCCAACCCAGGUCCCCGGGAUCAGGACCUGAGCUGAAGGCAGACGCUCGACCGACUGAGCCACGCAGGCGUCCCUGGCAUGAGCACCUUUGACUAAGUAUCACGGGUUCUGAUCUGUCAUGAGAAGACUGCUUUUGUUAGCUUAAGCUUCUAUCAAGGGCAACUCUAAAAGGACCGGCCCCCACAAAAGAUCUUCUCCUAAAACAACAGCCACGGUACAGGAGUGGUGAUGGGAAACAGCAAGGCUGCGAGAGGAACAGAGCAGAGCUUCUCGGGACGUUUCCCUCCUGCAGAGGCCUGACCUGCACGUUUGCCUUCAUUUCACAGAGAAGUAUUGAGUUACUGCUACCCCUGCCCCCCCGCCCUCCCCGGGUGCCAUGGCACAGCGUGGGGUUAAGGGCUCGGGCCCCCAGACCAGAAUGCUGGAUUUGAAUCCUUACUGUGCUGGCCGCCCUGGGGAAGGGAUCAGACUCUCCUGGCCUCAGCUGUCUUGUCUGGAAAGCAGGAUGGCCAUAGCAGCAUUCCCUUAGCAUGAGGUGAGGAUUAACUGAAGUCAUUCCUAGAACAACCACUGGCGCGUAGCAAGUACUCAGUGUGUGUUGGUUGUUGCUAGGAUUACUCCUGUGCUAGGCACCUAUGGGUCUCUGGUCUGAAGGUGGUCACGAGCGGUUGAGACGGACGUUCCCACGUAAACACAAAAGGUAUGACAAGGAGUAUGGUUGAUGAGUUACCAAGGGAAUGGAAAAGAAUUCAGUUCUGGGGAGCAGGCAGGGGGCGAGAUUGUUGUGGCAGGAGAAGCUUCACAGAGGAAGGAAGGCUUAAGCUGGGCUUGAAAGAUGUGCAAGAUUUGGCUGGACCACAGAAAGGCAUGACAGAUGGGGGGAGAGCUCCAGGCAAGGGGCUAGAGCCCCAGGAAUCCACAAGAAUUAAGCUAGAAGUCAAAGCAUCAUGCAACUCUGAUGCUUCAAGACUACAAGCCAAACCUCUGCAGUUAAGAUUUCCGAAUCAAAAUGUUGGCCUUUCUAAUAGAGAAAGAAAUGUUGAUUUGUGUUAACUUCAUCUGACAAAACUAUGUUAUAAAGUAAGGGCAACAGAGCUUAGCAUGAAGAAAUCAGAAGAGACAUAGAUCUAUUAUAAAUAGAGCUUCGAUUUAUAAAA